GAUGAACGCUGGCGGCGUGCCUAAUACAUGCAAGUCGAGCGAACGGACGAGAAGCUUGCUUUUCUGAUGUUAGCGGCGGACGGGUGAGUAGCACGUGGAUAACCUACCUAUAAGACUGGGAUAACUUCGGGAAACCGGAGCUAAUACCGGAUAAUAUUUUGAACCGCAUGGUUCAAAAGUGAAAGACGGUCUUGCUGUCACUUAUAGAUGGAUCCGCGCUGCAUUAGCUAGUUGGUAAGGUAACGGCUUACCAAGGCAACGAUGCAUAGCCGACCUGAGAGGGUGAUCGGCCACACUGGAACUGAGACACGGUCCAGACUCCUACGGGAGACAGCAGUAGGGAAUCUUCCGCAAUGGGCGAAAGCCUGACGGAGCAACGCCGCGUGAGUGAUGAAGGUCUUCGGAUCGUAAAACUCUGUUAUUAGGGAAGAACAUAUGUGUAAGUAACUGUGCACAUCUUGACGGUACCUAAUCAGAAAGCCACGGCUAACUACGUG
rnacentral:rRNA from 1 species